rnacentral:lncRNA from 1 species
AUAGCACUUUCGUGUGUAAGCCGAAUUCUCAGGGAAGGAAGGCACAGUGUCAUUCUUGAUUCUAACUGUGUUGUAAAUAGGGAUAGAAAAACCUGUGAAGGUCCUUCACAUCUUCAACCACUUUCUCCUGAGUUAGCAAAUCCAUCUAAGACGAUGCAGAGGUUUCUGUGGACGGAGCCUCAGUUCACCCUUGGGUUUAAGUGGCAGUUGAAACAUAAUAGCAGUUUAACCACCAGCCCCAGUCUCAUUUGUGCUUUCCGAACUGGGGUUUGCCUACCUAUUCAUCGCUGUGUCCUCGUACGCCCUCCCUAGCUGUGCCUCUUGGGCCUUUACUUGGCAUUGAUAUUACAGAGAUCUGGAACUUUUCUUUAAAGUUCUUAUUCCUAAGGUUAGUUACCAAGAUUCAUGCACAUGGUUCCGGGAUAACUUCUUCUACGCGACUGAGAAUGAAAAAGCAAUGUGAAGAGAGCAACGGCUUUUCUGUGUAUGAAUGGCCUGAGCACAGGAAGCCUUGCAGAUGCAGCUCCACAGCUUGCUGUCCCUGAG